rnacentral:lncRNA from 1 species
UCAGUCCAUCUUACAGAGAGAUCAAAUUUUAUUAGAUAGAGUAACAAGCCACUUGAGAGUACAAAAGAUAGGCAGAAAAACAUUCUGAGUAUAGGUAACAGACCACUUCAUGCAGGCAGUGACUCAAAAUCAGAACUGGAUGACUGCUCAGUAUGAAGUACACAGAGGUAAGGAACAAGGAUAAAAAGCAUUUAAAAAGUCUUUAUGAAUGGAAUGUUUAGGGUUUUUUACUCUAUCUAUUCUGCAAUUGCAAGACAUUGCGUGAGGAGGUAGCAUCUUGGCCUUUCAUGCUGAGAAGUCUAGAGUGAGUUUGAACAGAUGUCAAGUAGCAGUAGAUUUAAAACUUUCUUGACAGACAUUUAAAACUUGCCAGACAUUUGAACUCAGCUUUUGUGUAUAAAGUGCAUCUAAAACGUGAGGUAUAUUGAUGAAGCUGCAUAGCGAAUUUUACACAAUGCCUGUUUCUGUUUUAGUCCCAUUUCUCUUAACCUUCACAAUUAUCUAUUGCACAGUUCAUUUAAAAAAUUAGAAAAAUUGGAUUAAUAUGCAAUGGCAAACAGCAUAAACCCCUCGGUUUUUACACAAGCAAAAACUACUUAUUGAGAGGAAAAUUAAUUAUAGAGCUAUUAAAAUACACAAAUAAAAGCCCAGGUGUGGAACCCCAAAUGAGCAUGACAGAAGCCAAGAAUCUGUAUUUCUACAGCAGUCUGAGUUUAGAUAAGGAAUUUGUUUCUUAUGUGUUUAUUUUCAAUGUAAGGCAUAUUUUGGCAACACCUAAUAAAACAUACUUCAUUACCACAGACGAGACCGUGUAGGGGUCUAGUUUUGGUAUCUGUAUCACUGCAGAACUGGCAUAAGUGAUAGAAAGAGUGUAUGAAUACACAUACCUCUUGAAAAUUAUAUUUUUGUGACUACCCUGUUGGUAAAGGGGCUCACAACUGAUAUGCAGCACAAAACAGCAGCUUCUAGAUUUCCAAUGGUUUCUAUAUAAAAAUAUGUCAACUAGGAUAGUCAAUACAGCAUCUUUGAAAAAUCAAAAAUAUUUUUAAAUUGUUCCUUUUGUAUAUUUAACACAAACUAUGAAAAUAGACAAGUCAGUUUCAGACUGAUGUAAAAGACUGACAGUUUGGGUUGCAAGUAGUGCAGAAUAUCUUUACAAUUAUAAAAAAGAUAAAAUCUUAUCACAAAAUAAUUCAUACAGCUACUAAAAUAUUUCUCCUCCUUGCUCAUAUGUAAAUAAAAUAAGAUUAAGUUCC